rnacentral:rRNA from 1 species
GACGAACGCUGGCGGCGUGCUUAACACAUGCAAGUCGAACGGAAAGGCCCUGCUUUUGUGGGGUGCUCGAGUGGCGAACGGGUGAGUAACACGUGAGUAACCUGCCCUUGACUUUGGGAUAACUUCAGGAAACUGGGGCUAAUACCGGAUAGGAGCUCCUGCUGCAUGGUGGGGGUUGGAAAGUUUCGGCGGUUGGGGAUGGACUCGCGGCUUAUCAGCUUGUUGGUGGGGUAGUGGCUUACCAAGGCUUUGACGGGUAGCCGGCCUGAGAGGGUGACCGGCCACAUUGGGACUGAGAUACGGCCCAGACUCCUACGGGAGGCAGCAGUGGGGAAUAUUGCACAAUGGGCGGAAGCCUGAUGCAGCAACGCCGCGUGCGGGAUGACGGCCUUCGGGUUGUAAACCGCUUUCGCCUGUGACGAAGCGUGAGUGACGGUAAUGGGUAAAGAAGCACCGGCUAACUACGUGCCAGCAGCCGCGGUGAUACGUAGGGUGCGAGCGUUGUCCGGAUUUAUUGGGCGUAAAGGGCUUGUAGGUGGUUGAUCGCGUCGGAAGUGUAAUCUUGGGGCUUAACCCUGAGCGUGCUUUCGAUACGGGUUAACUUGAGGGAAGGUAGGGGAGAAUGGAAUUCCUGGUGGAGCGGUGGAAUGCGCAGAUAUCAGGAGGAACACCAGUGGCGAAGGCGGUUCUCUGGGCCUUUCCUGACGCUGAGGAGCGAAAGCGUGGGGAGCGAACAGGCUUAGAUACCCUGGUAGUCCACGCUGUAAACGGUGGGUACUAGGUGUGGGGUCCAUUCCACGGGUUCCGUGCCGUAGCUAACGCUUUAAGUACCCCGCCUGGGGAGUACGGCCGCAAGGCUAAAACUCAAAGGAAUUGACGGGGCCCCGCACAAGCGGCGGAGCAUGCGGAUUAAUUCGAUGCAACGCGUAGAACCUUACCUGGGUUUGACAUGGAUCGGGAGUGCUCAGAGAUGGGUGUGCCUCUUUUGGGGUCGGUUCACAGGUGGUGCAUGGCUGUCGUCAGCUCGUGUCGUGAGAUGUUGGGUUAAGUCCCGCAACGAGCGCAACCCUUGUUCACUGUUGCCAGCACGUUAUGGUGGGGACUCAGUGGAGACCGCCGGGGUCAACUCGGAGGAAGGUGGGGAUGACGUCAAGUCAUCAUGCCCCUUAUGUCCAGGGCUUCACGCAUGCUACAAUGGCUGGUACAGAGAGGGGCGAGCCUGUGAGGGUGAGCGAAUCUCGGAAAGCCGGUCUCAGUUCGGAUUGGGGUCUGCAACUCGACCUCAUGAAGUCGGAGUCGCUAGUAAUCGCAGAUCAGCAACGCUGCGGUGAAUACGUUCCCGGG